UUAUGAUUCAACAUGAAAGACGAAAUGACCUUAAUAUCAAGUAUAAUCACAUAAGUAACAAUUGGUGAUUGCGUUUUAAGAGCGAGCAAUCAUCUAUUGCCCAAAAAAUACAAGAUUCAUGCAUCUGAGAAAAAAACUUGCAAUUCUAGAUGAAGACUCAAAGGUGGUUUAGGCCAACUUAAUGGGCAUUGUCCUAAGGUAUGUGUAGAUGCUACUCUCCUUAUACGUCAUUUGUGGAAUUACACUAAAUGUGUAUGUUGUUUUAUGUCAUACCAGAGAUAAACACAUACAGUUCAGGUAUUGUUAUUGCAAAAAGGUUGGCAUAAGUUUGUGAAAGACAGAGGUUUAAGA
rnacentral:misc_RNA from 1 species